rnacentral:lncRNA from 1 species
GUCUGCUCGUCGUCCCCGUGCUCGGCGCGCUCGGCCCUCCUCCCCCGCCCCAGCUCCGGUCCCUGACGGACCGGGCGGCCGAGCACGUGCAAGGGUGGCCUUCCCGCCCCUGCGCCGGGCUGCCCGGAGCCCGCGACCCCCGCCCGCCGGCCCGGUCAGCUGACCCGGCUCGCCCGCCGCUCCCCGCCCGCCGCCGCGUUUCCGGUCCCCCGGGUCCGGGACUCGCGCUCCGAGAGGAGCGGCGGCGGCCGGGAGGUACUUCUCAUCUCUCUCUGAAGGCUGUUCCCACCCCCAACAGGCUUUCCUGUUUGCAGUCAUCCUGCAUAUCUGUUCUUCUCAUCAUCACUAGAGUGCAUGAGUGACAUAAGACUUACCUCUGACCAUGUCACUGCUCAGCCUAAAACCACUGAGAUUGAACUCGGGUCCUUGUGAUUGUGCAGCAGGCGGCGAAACCACUGAGCUAAAUCCCUGGCCCUGUAACUUAUUUUUUUGGUUAUUAUUCCUAAACAAUAGAGUAUAGGGACCAUUUACAUUGUAUCAAGUAAGAGAAUCUCAAGUAUAUGGGAAGAUGUGCGUAGUUUCUAUACAAAUAUUGUACCAUUGUUACAAGGACUCGGUCACCCAAAGAAUUGGGUAUCAGCCCAGGCCUUGGGCUCCAUCUCCCACGAGUAUCAAGGGGUG